rnacentral:rRNA from 1 species
GACGAACGCUGGCGGCGUGCUUAACACAUGCAAGUCGAACGCUGAAGCUCAGCUUUUGUUGGGUGGAUGAGUGGCGAACGGGUGAGUAACACGUGAGUAACCUGCCCCCUUCUUUGGGAUAACGCCCGGAAACGGGUGCUAAUACUGGAUAUUCACUGGUCUACGCAUGGGGGUUGGUGGAAAGGGUUUUUCUGGUGGGGGAUGGGCUCGCGGCCUAUCAGCUUGUUGGUGGGGUGAUGGCCUACCAAGGCUUUGACGGGUAGCCGGCCUGAGAGGGUGACCGGUCACAUUGGGACUGAGAUACGGCCCAGACUCCUACGGGAGGCAGCAGUGGGGAAUAUUGCACAAUGGGCGCAAGCCUGAUGCAGCGACGCCGCGUGAGGGAUGGAGGCCUUCGGGUUGUGAACCUCUUUCGCUCAUGGUCAAGCCGCAACAAUGGUUGUGGUGAGGGUAGUGGGUAAAGAAGCGCCGGCUAACUACGUG